UAUCUACCACAAUCACAUAAUAAACGAGUAGAAUUAACUGCUUUUUUACAUUGUUUACAUGUUUUUUCAUAUUUAUUUCUAUAGUUAUAAAAAUCAUCUGGACAUUUUAAUUCCAAACAAAUGGAGCAAAGACUUGUCAUUUAUUAGAACAAAUUUAUUCAUCAAAGACUUCAAGAUUACGAAAGUGUAUUUUAAGAAAAUCUAGUUUUGCCAAGGUUAAUACGUUAUUUUCAUACAUUAUAUAUACUUCUCAUAUCGUUUAACCUUUUCUGAAACAUUUGUCGUGCUUCUUGGUCAUCGUUAUGUGAGCAAUUCAUUUAAUUUAUUACAUUUUUUUCAUAAGAAAUUAUCUAUAAACAGUGCAUGAUAAAACACACUGUCCCUUUUGAGGUAAACUUGUGAUAAGCCUCGAGAUUCAAAAAAAUAUGUGUGGUAUAGGGAGGUGAUCAAUUUAAUGUUUAUUUAAUUAAUUGUCAAAAAAAUAAAUACUUGUAAUAAAAGGGAUCUAGUACAAUAUGCGAGGCAAUAUGGGACCUACGUAUUAUAAAAAAUAAAAUAAAUAAAACUAUUAGAUGUAAUUAUAUGAUGAAGACAAAUAACGUAUGGAAAGAAUUUUAUCUUCCAAGAAAGAAGAAGCGAAAAAUUAAAAAUUAAAUUAUUGACAUAGAUAAUACUGUUACUUGAAAGUUUAUGAUCAAGACGUAUUUUUCAUAUUAGACAAUGAUAAUCAACCUUUGUUUAAAGGUAAAGAUUUAGCAGAAAUAUUGGGUUAUGAAAAAUCAACAAAUGCUAUAAGUAAAGACGUAGAAAAAGAAAAAUAUUAAUCACAAAUAAUUUGCUUCAAUUCAUGGGAUUUAUUGAAGAAAUAACGCGAUUUUAACAACUUUUUAAAGGACUAGGAAAUCUCAUACGAAGAAAUAGAUUAUAAACAAUCUUAGCAGUUAAAAGAAAAACAAUCGCAACAAACCUGAUCCAGCUACUCCUACUGUGGCAGCGCCUGCACCAAUAAAUUUAUCAGCUGAAUCGAUGUCCCUGGACACUGGGGUGGUCUGGAAACUCCUCACUGCUGGGAGAAGUGUGGCUUGUUUGUGUUGCUGAACGACAGGACUCUGGACUAAUGAUGGGUUUUGGCUGAGGGCGGUGCUCAAUGGCCAUAAGUAUACUUUAGAGUUUGAAAUAAGCUGAAAAUGAACGCACCAAUCAAACCACAAUCACCAAUCAAAACGUUAAUCACAAGCCUUGGCCACUUCAGACAUCCAAGGAAGUUACGUUCGUCACGGUGGUCAGUGAACGUAUAUUAUCAUCAUAUUAAAUAUUAAAUAAACACUCCUUUUUUUAACUUAAAAUAUACACAAAUGUGGUGUAAUAAUUAUGAAAAUAAAUUAUUUUUUAUAAACUUCUGUUUACUUUAUUGAAGACAUGCCCUUUUUUAAAAUUGAAUACAAAAAACUAUCAGCAGGACUUUCACAAAUGCAAGGAAGAAAGUUCAAUCUUUAGAAAGAAAUAAUCGUAAAAUGAGAAAAAAAAUAAAAUAAAAAAUUCUUAUAGAUUUAGCAGAGAAAAAGCCGAAAUCACUUUGUAUACUUUAACAUUUUAUUUAAAGUUUCCAACAGUACGCAUUAAAAGUAUCUAAAAAUUUAUUACCAGAAGCCCAAAAAAAUUUUUUUAUCUUGAGGCAAAAUAAAGCCAUUUCCGAUUCAAUUACUGACCGAGUUUAGUGAAAUUUCACGAAAAAACUUAACUUACAGCUUAACACUUUACUUAAAAUGCUAAAAAAAAAAUUCGGCUUAAUCUACGAUUUUUCAGUGCAGUUUCAACAAAAUUUCAAGUUCGAGCUGAGUUUUCAGCUCAAGAACGUGAAGAAAUCCGUUAAAAAAAAAUAAAAAAACAA